rnacentral:misc_RNA from 1 species
UCUCCGUUGGUGAACCAGCGGAGGGAUCAUUACCAGAGUUUUACAACUCCCAACCCUUCUGUGAACCUACCUAUCGUUGCUUCGGCGGACUCGCCCCAGCGUCCGGACGGUCCCGCGCCGGCCCGCGACCUGGACCCAGGCGGCCGCCGGAGACCACACGAUCCUGUAUCCAUCAGUCUCUCUGAAUCCGCCGCAAGGCAAAACAAACAAAUCCAAACUUUCAACAACGGAUCUCUUGGUUCUG